rnacentral:lncRNA from 1 species
CAGGUGUUAUUGUCAGCAUUCGGAUGCCAAUGAAACGCUUUUUGCUAUCUUUAUUUUGUUUGUCAAGCGACUCUGUGAGGAACUGAGUAAUGCGGUCCGACGGAAUAGCAAAGGAAAUUCCAGCUGUAACCUUCAAGGUGUUAAUUCCAAUCACUUCACCAUCCAGAUUAACUAGAGGUCCUCCAGAGUUGCCAUAAUUGAUAAUAGCAUCUGUCUGAAUGUAAUCCAUAUCCGAGUCCCG